ACUUUUAAAGAUAGGCAGUAUGGAGUAGUGGUUGGCACAUGGCCUCUGGAAUCUUCCAUCCCUUGUACUCCAUUACAAGGAGUCUCACUUACCACCCCCCCACUCAACCCUUGUAUCUUAUCAUCUACUGAUUGUAUCUUAUCAUCUACUGGAUGAUGAAUGGCUUUAAUUAUGAGACUCUAGGACAUCAUUAUUUUUUUUUUUCUCUAGGACAUCAUUUGCUGACCACUCUCCCCAUCCCUCCAGAUUUAUUACUCACCAUUUAUGGUUUCCUUGUUAGUGAUUGCUCAGUAAAUACUCGCCAUUUUCUUAUUAGGGUGGAUAGGAAGGAGAUGAGCCAGCCAACUAGACAGAGAUAAUUUCUGGGGCAAGGAAAGAGCCCUGAGGGUAGGACAUAUUUUAUGUCAAGUGGAGGCAAGAAAAGACCAUUGUUGCAUACCUAUUAUGUGCCAAGUACUCAACGACAUUAAUUUAAUCCUCACAACAGUCUUGUGAUGUAUGUGUCUAUUUUUAUUUUACUGAAAUAAAAUGAAGUUCAGAGAUGUAAAGUAAAAUUCUCUGCAUCCCUCAACUUGUGGUGGCAAAGCCAGGACUUGAACUCACAUGUGUGUGAUUUGAAAAUUCAUCAUGCCCCAUCUGUCACAGCAUGGCCUCUGACAUAAGGGUGCUGAAAUGAACAACCCAAGACAGAGGACCACAACUAGACGACAGGGUGUCAGGCCACAAGUUAUGUCCAAGAAUCUCAGCUGCAUUUUCUGGUUGCUGGUGACUCCCUCAUCCCAUCUGCUCCUGCCCUUCCACCUGCUGAUUUCGCCAGAGAGGCCCUGGGUAAUGACUCAGCUGGGAACUAUCCAGCCUCAUCUUCCAGACCUAUUGGGAAAGACUUCUGAGGACAAGGCUGAAGGAGUCUCCAAGGUUGCCACAAAUGGACAGCUCUUCUAGAAGCUUUGAACCUGUAUGCCACAUCCAUUCAGAUUCCACUGACCACAGCAAGUCACAUAGCCAAGCCUGUCAUCCAAGGUGUGGACGGUGUCUGCUCCCAUGGGGGUGAGGGCUUUAGAGAGUGGACAUCUGCUGGACAAUAAUACAGUUUUGCCUAGUGAGAGGUCUGGUAACCUCUGUGGCCAGUGACGACAUUGGAACCCAUUUCCGAGCUGCCAGCCUGUGAUUUCUCCUGAGGCUCUCCUUCACUGCAGGCUACAUAUUAAGAGCCUGCCAUGUCUUACCAUGUCUACAUGCAUGCUUGUUGCUACAGAUGCCCAAACCUCACUGGUGAGAAGGCAUUGAAUGUUAAAGUGGGCAUCUGUUUUGAUUGGUUUGGUGCCCACGCAGUUGUUAAGUAUUUUAAACAUCAUCCCUGAAUGUAUAUACAAAUGCAAACCGUAUAUUUAACCCCUUUUCUGGCCUGGCACCAUAUCCUCUUCUUGAGGAUUGGAUCAUUCAGUAACCAUAUUUGCCAUAUCCACGAGAACCCCAAAGGGGGAAUGCAUUGAAAAUAAAAGCAUAGAGGGGUGCCUGGGUGACUCA
rnacentral:lncRNA from 12 species